UUUUAUAACGUCCGUUUGCCGUGAAACGGCCGGAGGUGUUCGGAAAGUGCGACGACACCGACGGCCUUGCCGGAGAUGGGUGUGCCUAUCCCGAGUCGAUUUCAUCCCAAAAACCUUGCAAAAAGACGAGAUAUAACUUCAAUUUCACAUCUAAGCUUCGAUCUAGAACAUAAAAAGAAAAACCCAAAGCUUACCUAACCGGAGAAAUAGAAGGAACUCGCCGGAGCAGGUGCGAUGGUGUGCAUGUGGGUUCGACGAGGAGGGAGGAGCAGAGGAGAUGGGUGAUGAGACCUAAAAACCCUUAACCAAACCAUUAUUAAGUUGAGAAGCGUGAGAGUGCUUUGAACACUCUUUCGUGGCCUUCCCACCGUGGUAGGCUCCAAUCGUUUGUGACUCGUACACCGGCUUCACCCUAUCAUGGGGGAGUACAAAGUGCGUGCUUACACUCAGGAGGAGUCUAUAUGGAUACUUGAUGUUGUGAAAGGUAGGCAACGAGAAUAGCCAACAUCAUCUCAUUGUGAGGUUGUUCUUGAACCCCUACCCGAACUUGCAUGGUGGGAAUGACUUAACUAAGUGCAAUAGAGCCAACAUCAUAUCAUUGUGAGGCUACAUUCUCUAGAGGCCAAAUAAGAUGGGUACUUGCAAGCAUGGAAGAAAAUAUCGAUAAUAUCGGCGAUAUAUCACCGAUAUUAUCGAAUUUUCGUUAACCCGAUAUUCUAAGUGGUAUCCAAGGGGUUUUUCGUCAUAAUUUCGCGAUAAUAUCGAUAAUAUCGAUAAUAUCGCGAUAUUAUCGAUAUUAUCGCGAAAUUAUCGGAACUGUGGAAGUCGGAGACGAACGCCGGAGCUUCUACAGCUCCGGGCGACUGUAAAACAACCCCUAGACUCCGAUCUAGGUAUGAACAUGAAAUAGAAGAUGAGAGGAAUGUUUUUAUAACGUCCGUUUGCCGUGAAACGGCCGGAGGUGUUCGGAAAGUGCGACGACACCGACGGCCUUGCCGGAGAUGGGUGUGCCUAUCCCGAGUCGAUUUCAUCCCAAAAACCUUGCAAAAAGACGAGAUAUAACUUCAAUUUCACAUCUAAGCUUCGAUCUAGAACAUAAAAAGAAAAACCCAAAGCUUACCUAACCGGAGAAAUAGAAGGAACUCGCCGGAGCAGGUGCGAUGGUGUGCAUGUGGGUUCGACGAGGAGGGAGGAGCAGAGGAGAUGGGUGCGUGCGAUGGGUGCGUGCGUGCUGCGGUGCAGAGAAGAGAGAUGAGGGAGAUAUGAGAGAGAGAGCCGAGAGGGAGACAGAAGAAAAAG
rnacentral:lncRNA from 1 species